rnacentral:rRNA from 1 species
UACAGAGGGGGCAAGCGUUGUUCGGAAUUACUGGGCGUAAAGGGCGCGUAGGCGGCCAGCGCAAGUCAGUUGUGAAAUCUCCGGGCUUAACUCGGAACGGUCAACUGAUACUGCGCGGCUAGAGUGCAGAAGGGGCAACUGGAAUUCUCGGUGUAGCGGUGAAAUGCGUAGAUAUCGAGAGGAACACCUGCGGCGAAGGCGGGUUGCUGGGCUGACACUGACGCUGAUGCGCGAAAGCCAGGGGAGCGAACGGG